UCGCAAACCCUUAUUUCCGCGACCAAGCGGCGGUCCUUGUCUUUCAUCCUUCUUUUCUCUUUUUCUGCUCUCGAUUUUGACUUGAUACACCGAAAUUUUACCUCAAAAUAUGAGCAGCCGCGAGAGUCGGAUUAUUUACGUAGGAAAUCUACCAGGCGACAUUCGUGAGAGAGAAAUUGAGGAUUUGUUUUACAAGUACGGACAUAUUGUGGAUGUUGAUCUGAAGAUUCCCCCAAGACCACCAGGUUAUGCUUUUGUUGAGUUUGAUGAUGCCCGUGAUGCAGAAGAUGCUAUUCGUGGCCGUGAUGGCUAUAAUUUUGACGGUCAUAGAUUGCGUGUAGAACUGGCGCAUGGUGGAAGAGGUCAUUCUUCAUCACAUGAUCGCAAUAGCAGUUAUAGUGGUAGCCGUGGUGUUUCUAGGCGUUCGGACUAUCGAGUUCUGGUGACUGGUUUACCUCCUUCUGCAUCUUGGCAAGACUUGAAGGAUCACAUGCGUCGAGCUGGCGAUGUCUGCUUCUCUCAAGUUUUUCGUGAUGGUGGUGGCACUACUGGUAUUGUUGACUAUACAAACAAUGAGGAUAUGAAGUAUGCGAUAAGGAAGCUUGAUGAUUCCGAGUUUCGGAAUGCAUUUUCUCGAUCAUAUAUAAGGGUGCGGGAAUAUGAUUCCAAGCGAAGCAUGUCUAGAAGCCGUAGUCGAAGCCGAAGCCGUAGCCGUAGUAUCAGUCAUAGCAGGAGCCGUAGCAGGAGCAAGUCUCCUAAGUCUAAAUCUGCACGGCGAUCUCAUUCCAAAUCUCGAUCUAGAUCUGUUUCCUCUCGUUCUCGUUCCGGGUCAAAAGAUUCUUUAUCGGGAUUUGGGCUUAUGCAGCGAUCUGGGGAUUGCAUGCUAGGAACUUCAUUGGAUUCUGUGGAAUUGCCUACAAAUGUUUAUUUGUUUGAGGUAACAUUUUCAUAAGAGGGGGCCUAUGGGCGCAUAAUAGGCCUCUUUUUAUUAGUUGGACGCCCAUAAGGGAGACUUUUUAAUGAAGAAUGCUGGAGAGUCUGGAUGGGGAUCUGUGUUUGGUACAAACUAGAUUAUUAUGUUUUUUGUUGGGUUCGCUGGAUUUCCAUAUGUGGCGUGGAGGAAUUUGGAUGAACGAGUAAGGCUACAUAGUGGAUAUUGAAUUCAGUUGUUUCUGGACCUUUUUGCAGAUCACGAGCAAGAUCCAGAUCCCCAGUAACUUCUCCUCGAGACAAAGUAGUGGGCAAGAGCCCGAAGAAACCAAACCCUGCUGCUAGGAGCAGGAGCCUGU